GGAUGUGAGGGUGAUCUGGCUGCAACAUCUGUCACCCCACUGAUCAACCAGGAUUGAUUUGGCUGAUCUGGCUGGCUAGGCAGAUGUCCCCUUCCUCCCUCACCACUCCAUGUGUGUCCAUCCUGAAGCUGCAUGCUAAGUCGAAGAGGACAACCAUCCCUGGUAGAGGAGGAUCAUUCUUUGGUCAAGGGUAUAGGAGUAACUGCACUCCCCUGCUAGAACCUUCAAACAAGCUCUCAAGAAUCCUCUGUGCUAUCCCAUAAGUGAGCUCUUUGCUUCUCUCUGCCUCAAAAGGUAGGCACAUCCAAAGGACAGUCAUUAGCCUCCUAAUAUAUAUUU
rnacentral:snRNA from 1 species